UUAAAACUCUUGCUGUCCCUCAUAUAUAUAUAAAGGUUGUGAUUUCACACAGCUCCAGCGUUACCAGUGAGAGGCUCUGACGGGACAUGCUAACGUGGAACAGAAUCUCACUGCCCUGUUGCUGUCACCCAGAGGGGUUUCCUUAAAAUGCUGAGUAGCCAUCUUCAGUCCUGAAAAUAGGAGACUGCAGCAUCCUGCCCUGCCCUGGCUGCAGCAAAUCAUCCUUCGAUUACCAGCGACAUACAAAUGGGUUUGUGAGCGCGUAUUCCCAGCAUUUCUGGCAUUUUCUGAGGUCUUCAAACCAACCACACCUUUCUCAACCUAAAAGUCAUGGAACACUUCUCUUUCGCUCCCAGAAAAGAAAGGAGAAGAAAGAUUUUGUGUCUCACUCUCCACGCAUCCCGACCCAUCCCUCCAUCCAAACUCUCCACAGGGAGAAAGAGAUCAGGAAGACAGCACUCAGCACCUUCUAGGGGAAAUGUGAGCAAUCAGGUAGUCUGACCCCUUCAUUCUACAAAUGACUAAACUAAGGUUAGAAAGGUUGAGUUGACGAGCCCAUGAUACAGGCUAGUGGCAGAGGCUGAAUCAGGACUCUAUUCCCGGUUUAUCACUUGUUACCAAAA